CCUACGGGUGGCAGCAGUGAGGAAUAUUUGUCAAUGGACGAGAGUCUGAACCAGCCAAGUAGCGUGAAGGAUGACUGCCCUAUGGGUUGUAAACUUCUUUUAUAUGGGAAUAAAAUGUUCCACGUGUGGGAUUUUGUAUGUACCAUAUGAAUAAGGAUCGGCUAACUCCGUGCCAGCAGCCGCGGUAAUACGGAGGAUCCGAGCGUUAUCCGGAUUUAUUGGGUUUAAAGGGAGCGUAGGUGGAUUGUUAAGUCAGUUGUGAAAGUUUGCGGCUCAACCGUAAAAUUGCAGUUGAAACUGGCAGUCUUGAGUACAGUAGAGGUGGGCGGAAUUCGUGGUGUAGCGGUGAAAUGCUUAGAUAUCACGAAGAACUCCGAUUGCGAAGGCAGUUCACUGGACUGCAACUGACACUGAGGCUCGAAAGUGUGGGUAUCAAACAGGAUUAGAUACCCGAGUAGUC
rnacentral:rRNA from 1 species